GCCCGCCUAGCUCAAUCGGAUAGAGCGUCAGACUCUUAUAAAUAGGCGGAAUCUGAAGGCUGCGAGUUCGACCCUCGCGGUGGGCU
rnacentral:tRNA from 1 species